AUUGAACGCUGGCGGUAGGCCUAACACAUGCAAGCCGAGCGGCAGCAGGGUGAUUGCUCCUGGAUACGGCGGCGGACGGGUGAGCAAUGGCUAGGAAUCUGCCUGGUUGCUGGGGCUAACGUGCGGAAACGGGGGCUAAUACCGCAAUCGUGCAGAGGGCGUAAGUGUGGGAGCAUGGGAUCUUAGGACCUUAGAUGAUCCGAGGACGGAUUAGCUAGUUGGUGGGGUAAAGGCCUACCAAGGCGACGAUCCGUAACUGGUCUGAGAGGAUGAUCAGUCACACUGGAACUGAGACACGGUCCAGACUCCUACGGGAGGCAGCAGUGGGGAAUAUUGGACAAUGGGCGAAAGCCUGAUCCAGCCAUACCGCGUGGGUGAAGAAGGUCUUCGGGUUGUAAAGCACUUUAGUUUGGAAAGAAAAGCAGUAGGUUAAUACCUCGCUGUUCUGACGUUACCAACAGAAUAAGCACCGGCUAACUUCGUG
rnacentral:rRNA from 1 species